GACGAACGCUGGCGGCGUGCUUAACACAUGCAAGUCGAACGGAAAGGCCCUGCUUUUGUGGGGUGCUCGAGUGGCGAACGGGUGAGUAACACGUGAGUAACCUGCCCUUGACUUUGGGAUAACUUCAGGAAACUGGGGCUAAUACCGGUUAGGAGCUCCUGCUGCAUGGUGGGGGUUGGAAAGUUUCGGCGGUUGGGGAUGGACUCGCGGCUUAUCAGCUUGUUGGUGAGGUAGUGGCUUACCAAGGCUUUGACGGGUAGCCGGCCUGAGAGGGUGACCGGCCACAUUGGGACUGAGAUACGGCCCAGACUCCUACGGGAGGCAGCAGUGGGGAAUAUUGCACAAUGGGCGGAAGCCUGAUGCAGCAACGCCGCGUGCGGGAUGACGGCCUUCGGGUUGUAAACCGCUUUCGCCUGUGACGAAGCGUGAGUGACGGUAAUGGGUAAAGAAGCACCGGCUAACUACGUG
rnacentral:rRNA from 1 species